rnacentral:rRNA from 1 species
CCUACGGGAGGCAGCAGUCGAGAAUUUUUCUCAAUGGGGGAAACCCUGAAGGAGCGACGCCGCGUGGGGGAUGAAUGGCUUCGGCCCGUAAACCCCUGUCAUUUGCGAUCAAACCUUACGACCUAACACGUCGUAAGCUGAUAGUAGCGGAAGAGGAAGGGACGGCUAACUCUGUGCCAGCAGCCGCGGUAAU